rnacentral:misc_RNA from 1 species
CGCACUGCACUAUCCGGACGACACCCCCGUGAUAGUAUGCCCCAUUGAGCGUUAUUUGUUCAUUCAGACAUCAAGGUGUUUGCUCACCAUGGUGGAUGAGUUCGAGGUCCACACCGCACUGUGCGUUCCUUGAGAUUUAUUAGCAACCAUGGUCUACCCAGUGCCCAUCCUGUGAUGAUUUUGCAGGCCAGAGCUCGGGUUUGGCUGGUGCUGACAGCUGCCUCUCACUGGCACAAUGGCCUCUGUGCCCACUCUUCGUACAUAACCUCAGUGGGGUAGGAUUACCCGCUAGACUUAA